CCUACGGGAGGCAGCAGUGAGGAAUAUUGGUCAAUGGACGCAAGUCUGAACCAGCCAUGCCGCGUGCAGGAAGACGGCUCUAUGAGUUGUAAACUGCUUUUGUACGAGGGUAAACGCAGAUACGCGUAUCUGUCUGAAAGUAUCUUACGAAUAAGGAUCGGCUAACUCCGUGCCAGCAGCCGCGGUAAUACGGAGGAUUCGAGCGUUAUCCGGAUUUAUUGGGUUUAAAGGGUGCGUAGAAGGUCGGAUAAGUUAGAGGUGAAAUCCUGAGGCUCAACUUCGAAAUUGCAUCUGAUACUGGUAGGCUAGAGAGUAGUUGCGGUAGGCGGAAUGUAUGGUGUAGCGGUGAAAUGCUUAGAGAUCAUACAGAACACCGAUUGCGAAGGCAGCUUACCAAGCUACUUCUGACGUUGAGGCACGAAAGCGUGGGGAUCAAACAGGAUUAGAUACCCAUGUAGUC
rnacentral:rRNA from 1 species